rnacentral:misc_RNA from 1 species
GAGGCACUCGGAGAUGGUGGUGGCCUGCCGGAGCAGGUGGUCGCAGAGCGGGCACGUCAAGCAGCGCGUGAGCAGCUCCCGCUUCACCAUGGCCACGGCGCUGUCCCCCGCCGCACCGCCUCGCCGGCACCGCUGCCGCCUGCCUCUCCUCCCCUCAUGCUCCGAUUCCCAGUCAUCCUCGUCGUCGCCGCCCACCUUCGCCGCCGCCUCCUCAUUCGCCCGCGCCCCCUCUUCCACCUUGUCCUCGGCCUCCGGCUCAACAGCCGGCGGCGAUGCGGUCCCGGUGGUCUCACUGGUUUGCAUGGCGUGGGGCCCAGCCACGAAGCUAGUUCCCCAUGCCGGCGAUGGGCGAAACAAAGGCGCCUCCUAUUAUUGCGCCGACGCCUCCCCUCCGGUUGGAAAUGGGAAAGAUCGAAGCGCACGACGACGCCGAGGCGGAGUUGGAGAAGAGAGUCGAAGCAGAGGAG